UUCUUAUGGCAAAAAAGGUGAGAGCAGCCGCGAAAGCAAUCUUCCAGAUACCUCGUGUGGGAUCUUCCAUCACUGUCAAAGAAAGAUGCAAAAAUACAGCAGAACCCGGGAGAACCAUGGCUAUGGUGCCCGCUAUAACAAAUGCCUGGAAAGCUGUCUUUCUUGUUAGGAUUGCGGAACCUGGAUUUGGGCCUUUGUCGCCUCUGUAACCCCUAGAUAACGUGAAAGCUGCAGAAAACUUCGCGGUUGAUAUGAGCGUGGCUACUAUCAAAUUAGUAUCUCUUGUUUUCUGAGUAUCUGUCAUCAAUUUCAUCAUUUACUUUCUUGUCACCAUCCUUCUUGCUGUAAUGUCCUUCAUCUAUUGGUAUUGAUGGUUUCCUCUUCCUUCUCAGCAUGUCCAUCCAAUUCCAGGUUGAUAACCUUUUGCAAACUUGAUCCAAGACCGGCCCUGUUGAAUAAUCCCUAUCUGCAGACAGCAUAUGAAUAACUUUAAGCGCAGCAAAAGAAAUUGAAAAACAAUUGUAGUCCAGUACUCUUGUUGUUGAAAUGUCCCCGGAUGCAGCAAGGCAAUGGAGAGGUGUGUUCCCCUAGUAUCCUUCUGAUUUAAAAGGGUGCCGAGCCAUAGAUUUUUAUGGAGAUACUCCUCUGCCUCCGGCUCUCCACGGCAAAGUGAAGGACAUUCGAACUUUUCAGGUCAACCAGCUCACAACAAUCCGGGCAGCGUGAUAUGAGCUCUCUCAUCACUAGUACAUGGCCUCGGCCUGCUGUAGUGUGAAGAGCUGUCCUUUUCCCUUCUUGUCACCGAUGGCUGUGUCGUUCUGGUAGUCAUUCUUAGCAUCUGUCAUGCUUCUCCGUACUCCUUUCAAGUCUUCGACUACCUUUUGCACUUGCAACAAGGAAUUCUACUAUUGCAUGGUGCCCAUAUCUAGCUGCAAUGUGCUAAGGAGUUUCGCCGUUGGAAUUUGUCUGCAAUAACAGGGACGGACACUUGUCAAGAACAACCAUGAGAAAUUGGGAUGACUUUGUUUUGGCAGAUGGGGGAGGGAUAUUGCAGCUUUUGUGGUACUGAUGAAAACCAUGCUUUACUGAUCUCGGGGACUCUAUUGAUUGGUUCAUUUAUCUUCUUAGAUAAGGCUGUGAUGUAAAUAUGGAGAAUUGUGUUUCUGUUUGGGGUCACCAGGCAUUGGAGUUGAUUUGUACAUUCCAGAAAGGUUUCAGUUUCACCUCUGCAGCCGCCUUAUAUAGUUCAGAGUCGACGCAUGUAAAAACAUGAGUUUGGUCUGCUUUGCUUGUUUCACCACGAAUGGAGCAUACAUUUUCCUCCAUCUGAAUCAGUUUAGAAUCCACCCGCACUUCCUAUCUUUGGUUAGGUUGUUGUUACUACUUUCCCCAGAUGCUGCAAUCUGAAUUUAAGUAGACAUGUAUAAUUGCUCUCGCAGCUCUUUCAUAUAUCAUACGAAGCACUCUUUACA